rnacentral:rRNA from 1 species
GUAAUUCCAGCUCCAAUAGCGUAUAUUAAAGUUGUUGCAGUUAAAAAGCUCGUAGUUGAAUUUCGGGGUCAGCAGGUUGGUCGUGCCUCUGGUACGCACUGGUUUCGCUGAUUCCUCCUUUCUGAAGAACUGUAAUGUCAUUAAUUUGGUGUUGCAGGGAAACAGGACUGUUACUUUGAAAAAAUUAGAGUGUUUAAAGCAAGCUAACGCUUGAAUACAUUAGCAUGGAAUAAUGAAAUAGGACGUUUGAUCCUAUUUUGUUGGUUUCUAGGAUUGACGUAAUGAUUAAUAGGGAUAGUUGGGGGCAUUAGUAUUCAAUUGUCAGAGGUGAAAUUCUUGGAUUUAUUGAAGACUAACUACUGCGAAAGCAUUUGCCAAGGAUGUUUUCAUUAAUCAAGAACGAAAGUUAGGGGAUCGAAGACGAUCAGAUACCGUCGUAGUCUUAACCAUAAACUAUGCCGACUAGGGAUCGGAUGAUGUUAAUUUUUUAA